rnacentral:tRNA from 1 species
CCGGAAUGCAAGUCCGGAGGCGCCCCCUAGGCGGUGCCGGGGCUUCUCCCGGUU